UUCUGUGUCUCCCUCUCUCUCUGCCCCUCCCCUGCUGGCGUUCUGUCUCUCUCUCUGUCUCUCUCAAAAAUAAAUAAACAUUAGAAAAAUAAAAAAAAUAAUAACAUACCCAUAGAUAUAACAUGAAGCGGGAUUCUAGAAAUAUUUAAGUUUAGACUCGAAUAUUUCCAUAAUUUUCAAAAAGAUAAAAUGCAAAGCAAUAAGCUAAUAAAAGGAGAAAAAAAAAAGAGCACUAUCAGAUUUACACUCCUAAAACUAAUUUAACAUGUGCACACGUAUAUUAACAUUUAUAAUAUGUAUGUAUAUGCAUAUACACAUAUAAAUUUGCAAAGAGUGGAUUUAUAUAGCAUAGCAAAGUAACAAUUACUUGGCAAUAUGAGAAUCCUCUACGAAUAUAUCUGUGAUUUAAAAUGACAGUUUCCUUCUCAUGUCUUCCUUCUCUCUAAAGAUAAAAAUCAUCCUGGGGUAUUUUUGUUUGUUGUAAGUAUAAAAUCUAAUCAUUUCUUAUAUUUAUGAGAACGUAACAAUCUGAAGAAAAGGAAGGUGCUCUCCCCAAAAACCCAUUUAACAAACACCAAAAUGUUCUAUAACCCUAAGAGAACAAUUGUUAAUUACUUAUUAGACUGCCAAAACACUUAUAAAAAACAAUGUAUGGUAUUUUACAAUGAAAUAUUUACAUAUUUAUGCUUUGUGAAAUCCCAUGCAUCUGGAAAAACUAGGUAUUUUUAAAUAAUAAAUUCAUCUGUUAUUUACAAA